UACGUAGGUGGCAAGCGUUGUCCGGAAUUAUUGGGCGUAAAGCGCGCGCAGGCGGUCCUUUAAGUCUGAUGUGAAAGCCCACGGCUCAACCGUGGAGGGUCAUUGGAAACUGGUGGACUUGAGUGCAGGAGAGAAGAGUGGAAUUCCACGUGUAGCGGUGAAAUGCGUUGAUAUCAGGAGGAACACCCAUGGCGAAGGCAGCAAACUGGCCGGCAUCUGACGCUGAGGCGCGAAAGCGUGGGUAGCAAACAGG
rnacentral:rRNA from 1 species